UUAAAGAAUAUUAAGGGGCCUAAUCUACCAUAUCUCGCCCGUAUCAGAUGCUUAGUGUAAAGUUAACUUCUGUGUCUGAUCACAGUUGCUACAUCCAUCCCCUCCCUCAUGUCUUUUCAUUAAUGGUAAACCGAAAAUGCUAUUUCUUUGCUUUAAAUCUUUUUUUUUCUAGAAGUAGCUAACCCUGGAUGCUUACCUUAGACUGUCUCUGGUCUUCCUUGAUUCUGUCCUUGCAGAUAUUCUCAUUUCUUCCAGAAGAUGGCAGUGUGGUUCCUGCAAUUUUCCUUCCCUGGGCAAACAUGAAGGCCAGGGCUGCUUGUACCUACUGUGGCUUGAACUUCUCUUAUAUUUUCCCUCAGUUUUUAUCAGAAAUUGAUGAGUAUGUGUGGGGAAAUCAGAGGACAAAUAAUUUAAAUGAAGUAUAAACAACUUUCUGUGUACAGAAACUCAGCUGUCAUGCCUCUUCCAGACAUCUUGUGCCCAUCAAGUGUGGUUUGCCAGUGUUGUCUAUACAUGCAUGCAUACACACACACACAUGUAUUACGUAUGUAUGGAUACAUUAGAUAGAUAGAUAGAUAGAUAGAUAGAUAGAUGUUAAUUUGCAGCCUCUACUCCACAGAGUCUCAUGACUGUCAGUGUUACUGAGGACAGCCCUGUUGCCCUCAGUCUCUCAGCCUUAUGUGGAAUUAUUGCCUUUGGACAAAUGAGGAUGUGAGUUGUUUCCUUCUUUUUGGUUCUAGGAGUUGAUGACAGAGCUGAAGUGAUAGCUAGAUUCUCUUCUGUAGAUUCUGGAAAGUUCCUCUGACAUAGAGCUAGCAUCUCAAGUAAACCAGCUUACAAAUGCUGACCUUUUGAAAAGAACAUACUGUUUGAACUUUGGAAAAUGUAUAUGGUUACACACCACCUUGACGUCAGAGUAAUAUCAUGUCUGACAACCCAACCCUCACCCCUAGCUCUUACAGCUAAUGAUUUGAAUUCAGUUGUACUUUUUGCUUUUUUUAGAAUGUCACAGAAAAGGAAUCUCAGAUGAUUGAUUGAUUGGUCAAUCGUUUGUGCCUAUGUUUUAAACAGCAUAAUGCUUUUGAGAUUUAUCUGUGUUCCAUGUUGUAAAUGGUUCCUGCUUAUUGCUGGAUGUCACUUCACUCUGCAUAUUUAGGUUAUAAGAUUUGGGGCUUUGUUAAGGAUAAAGUUAUAUACUGUUCAAAUGUUUCUUUUUACAAAUACACAUUCCCGUUCAUCAUGGAGACUUACUUAGAGCUAGAAUCUUGAUUUGUGUCUCUCAGUGGCUGGUAACGAACAUUUCCCUCUGUUUGCUGUCCUUGUGCCCUUGUCUGUUGGGGUGUCUUACCCAGGAUGUUUGUUAUUAGUACUGAGUUGAAAGUUUGUUGCAUACUUUUUGCAUUUUUGCAUACAACUCCUUUACUAAGUUUUUUCUUACUAAUAUUUUCCCCAUUCCAUGGCUUAUUUUUUUGUCUGUUUUCUUGGUAUUAUCACUUUAAGAAAAGGUUUUCAUUUUGUUGAAGUUUGAAUUUAUUUAUUUUUCUUUUCUUCUUUUCUUUAAUGAUUCAUGUCUUUUGUGUCCUAAGGAUAGCCAGGCAUGGUGUUUCAUGUCAGUAAUCUCAGCACUGGAGAGGCAGCAAUUAUUGUGAGUUCAAAGGUAGCCUAGGAUAUUUAGUGAGUUCUAAUCUUUUCCUGUCUGUCUCAAAAGACAAAAAGAUAAAAAAAAGACAUUUCCCCAGAUCAAGAGCACAAAGAUUUUUCUAGAAGUUUCAUGGUUAUAUUUCUUGAUUCGGUUUUCUAUCUACUUGGAGUUCAUUUCUGUGUGCCAUAGAUGCUGGAGUGGCCUUUUGUUUAAGUGGAAAUCAGCAGGCACCAUUUGUUUAAAAGCUCAUCUGUUCAUUAAAUUGUGUCAAUACCUUUGCUGAAAUCA
rnacentral:lncRNA from 1 species